rnacentral:lncRNA from 1 species
AUAUCAGUAAAUAAUUUAAAAAUUAUAUUAAAAAAUUAUACAAAUAGUUCAUAAAAAUUAAAAAAAUUAAUAACAUGUGUAACACCCAAUUAUUGCCCGGUCCAGUAAAUGCCAAAAAACAGAUAAAAUAAUAAAAUAAAAACAGUCCAUAGUGUCCGAUUACAAACGGGCUACAAGGCCCAAACCAAAACAAAGCAGUGGCCCAAAUUACAAUGGCCCAAAACGGAUGAAACCCUAGGGUUUCUAAUCUUCAACAGUGCCACAACCGAGCCAAGCCAAGCUCCGGAUCUUCACGAUCUGCACCUGCAAACACAAGAAAGGAAAGAAAAUCAAAUCAAAUCAGAUCGAAUCAAACAAAACUUGUUUCUUGAUUUCUUUUAUUUUUCAUUCGGCUAUAAAAAGCCAUUCCAAUACAUUGUAAGGGAGGGGAUAUGGAAAUCAGAAAUAAAAAACUACUACUUUCGCAAUAUAGAGAGCAAAAAAACCGAAUCAAAGGUUGUCACUUGCAUUUUUUCUGUUUUAUGUAUUUAUUUUUAUCGUUUAUAUAUAUAAAUAAUAUAAGAGGAAAGGAAGAACCUGGGUUUUAAGCCCUAAUCGCCGUGAACGGUCGAGGAACCGUCUCCGAGGAAAGACGGUCGGAAAUCGAAAAGUCUCUCGGGCUUUUGAGGUGCUUCCACGAAUAUUUGGAGGGUUUUGUGCCCGGAUUUACGCUUAGAGGCCUCGAGGGAACCAGAUCUGAGGGUUUUUUUUUCAGCCACCGCAUACGGCGGUGCCGGUGCCGGAGAUCGGCGGCCGGCGCGGUGGUUGGUGACCAGCCGAUUACCGACCGAUGGCCGGAGGACGGAGGAGUUGAGAGAGUUUUAAAAGGUUUUUUUGGUUUUUUUUC